GGUCGCAGCGUCAGAGGUGGCGUCGUCGGACGGGCCGGUCGCAGCGUCAGAGGUGGCGUCGUCGGACGGGCCGGUCGCAGCGUCAGAGGUGGCGUCGUCGGACGGGCCGGUCGCAGCGUCAGAGGUGGCGUCGUCGUCAGACGGGCCGGUCGCAGCGUCAGAGGUGGCGUCGUCAGAGGUGGCGUCGUCGGACGGGCCGGUCGCAGCGUCAGAGGUGGCGUCGCCAGAGGUGGCGUCGUCGGACGGGCCGGUC